UACGUAGGUGGCAAGCGUUGUCCGGAUUUAUUGGGUUUAAAGGGUGCGUAGGCGGCCUAUUAAGUCAGUGGUGAAAUAUCUCAGCUCAACUGAGAGUGUGCCAAUGAUACUGAUGGGGCUUGAGUCAGAUGAGGUAGGCGGAAUUGACGGUGUAGCGGUGAAAUGCUUAGAUAUCGUCAAGAACACCUAUAGCGAAGGCAGCUUCUAGGCUGUAACUGACGUGAGGCACGAAA
rnacentral:rRNA from 1 species